rnacentral:lncRNA from 1 species
GGGCGCUAAGGAUAUGGUGCGCCGGUGGUGCGCUGCGCACAAGGGUACCGUGUUUAUGACGGCGCGUUCUGCGGUGUGCGUAUUAGUGUGUGCGCAGGCGUACGUUAUUUUCUUGUUGGCCGUCAGAGUGUGGGCGUGCAACUGCAAUCGAACCCAUUAGUAAGUAGUAACCACCAUAAGAGACCAAAAUUAUAACUACUUAAAAGUGAAAAUCAUUAACUGCUGUAUUUUAUUUAAUUCAGUUGGGCACGUUUUGGCCUAAUAAAAUUUAUUAAUGACAUCUUUUAGACUCAGCUACCAUAAUGUACAUUUUCGUCCUUUGCUUCAUCCCAAAUUCAUAUCGAAAUUUCGAAUGCGGUCCCAUAUAUUUUUAACAUAUUUGUCGAUUAUUAGUUGCAGCCGUCAAUGAUUACGAGGCUUAAGACUCUAAUGAAAUGAACACUAUUGGUCGAAUAAUUCUUUUACUCCAACAUGAGACUUUUAAAAAUACUCGCUUGUCAAAAUUAUAAUUUGUAAACUUAACAUGCAAGAAUCUGUCUGUAUUACCUUGUCCCUGUGCUAAAUAAAGCAGACCACCACCAGGGCCACUAAUUGAGUGAAAAAGGGCAAAGGGUGUAACGGGGAAGCGUCUCC